AGAUACAGAACUACACUGUGAGAGUGGUAGCCACCAACUACAAGCAGUUCGCUAUAGUGUUUCUGAAGAUGACUCUCCCAAACAGUGUGUACAUCGAGAUCACCCUCUACGGGAGAACCAAGGAGCUGAGCCUUAAACUGAAGAAACGCUUUGUCAAGUUUUCCAAGUCUGUGGGCCUCACUGAGGACAAUAUCAUCUUCACUGACCCCAUAGAGAAGUGCAUCGAUGAGUGAACCAACAGUGUCACCACUCUGUCCACCGCAUUCUUCCACUCACUUCUGCUCACAAUGACAACUGGAUGCCCCACCAAACACAAUGGCAAUGAGAGAGACAGGAGAUCCUUCCUACAGUUCAGGGCUGUAGCAAAAGCCACCCUGCUGAUGGAGCCCCAACGAUCUGCUAAAUAAAC